GGCUGGCGGAGCUUACCAUGCAGUCGAGCGGUAACAGGGGUAGCUUGCUACCCGCUGACGAGCGGCGGACGGGUGAGUAAUGCAUAGGAAACUGCCCAGUAGUGGGGGAUAGCCCGGGGAAACCCGGAUUAAUACCGCAUACGUCCUUCGGGAGAAAGCAGGGGAUCUUCGGACCUUGCGCUAUUGGAUGUGCCUAUGUCGGAUUAGCUGGUUGGUGAGGUAAUGGCUCACCAAGGCGACGAUCCGUAGCUGGUCUGAGAGGAUGAUCAGCCACAUCGGGACUGAGACACGGCCCGAACUCCUACGGGAGGCAGCAGUGGGGAAUAUUGGACAAUGGGGGCAACCCUGAUCCAGCCAUGCCGCGUGUGUGAAGAAGGCUUUCGGGUUGUAAAGCACUUUCAGUGAGGAGGAAAAGUUAGUCCUUAAUACGGGCUAGCCUUGACGUUACUCACAGAAGAAGCACCGGCUAACUCCGUGCCAGCAGCCGCGGUAAUACGGAGGGUGCAAGCGUUAAUCGGAAUUACUGGGCGUAAAGCGCGCGUAGGUGGUUUGAUAAGCGAGAUGUGAAAGCCCCGGGCUUAACCUGGGAACGGCAUUUCGAACUGUCAGGCUAGAGUGUGGUAGAGGGUAGUGGAAUUUCCUGUGUAGCGGUGAAAUGCGUAGAUAUAGGAAGGAACACCAGUGGCGAAGGCGGCUACCUGGACCAACACUGACACUGAGGUGCGAAAGCGUGGGGAGCAAACAGGAUUAGAUACCUGGGUAGUC
rnacentral:rRNA from 1 species